GACGAACCGUACGAACGUUAUUCGGAUUCACUGGGCUUAAAGGGUGCGUAGGCGGCCAUGUAAGUAGGGUGUGAAAUCCCCCGGCUUAACCGGGGAACUGCGCCCUAAACUGUGUGGCUUGAGUGAGAUAGGGGUGUGUGGAACUUCCGGUGGAGCGGUGAAAUGUGUUGAUAUCGGAAGGAACGCCGGUGGCGAAAGCGACACACUGGGUCUCAACUGACGCUGAGGCACGAAAGCCAGGGGAGCGAACGGG
rnacentral:rRNA from 1 species